ensembl:snRNA U6 U6 spliceosomal RNA
GUGCUCGCUUCGGCAGCACAUAUACUAAAAUUGGAACAAUAUAGAGAAGAUUAGCAUGGCCCCUGUGUAAGGAUGACAUGCAAAUUUGUGAAGCGUUCCAUAUUUAA